AUUGAACGCUGGCGGCAGGCUUAACACAUGCAAGUCGAACGGUAACAGGAAGAAAGCUUGCUUUCUUUGCUGACGAGUGGCGGACGGGUGAGUAAUGCUUGGGAAUCUGUUUCAUGGAGGGGGAUAACUACGGGAAACUGUAGCUAAUACCGCGUAAUAUCGAGAGAUUAAAUGUGUGGGACCGUAAGGCCACAUGCCAUGAAGUGAGCCCAAGUGGGAUUAGAUAGUUGGUGAGGUAAUGGCUCACCAAGUCAGCGAUCUCUAGCUGGUCUGAGAGGAUGACCAGCCACACUGGGACUGAGACACGGCCCAGACUCCUACGGGAGGCAGCAGUGGGGAAUAUUGCACAAUGGGCGCAAGCCUGAUGCAGCCAUGCCGCGUGAAUGAAGAAGGCCUUCGGGUUGUAAAGUUCUUUCGGUGGUGAGGAAGGUUGGCGUGUUAAUAGCACGUUGAUUUGACGUUAGCCACAGAAGAAGCACCGGCUAACUCCGUGCCAGCAGCCGCGGUAAUACGGAGGGUGCGAGCGUUAAUCGGAAUAACUGGGCGUAAAGGGCACGCAGGCGGUGACUUAAGUGAGGCGUGAAAGCCCUGGGCUUAACCUAGGAAUUGCAUUUCAUACUGGGUCGCUAGAGUAUUUUAGGGAGGGGUAGAAUUCCACGUGUAGCGGUGAAAUGCGUAGAGAUGUGGAGGAAUACCGAAGGCGAAGGCAGCCCCUUGGGAAUAUACUGACGCUCAUGUGCGAAAGCGUGGGGAGCAAACAGG
rnacentral:rRNA from 1 species